rnacentral:rRNA from 1 species
GACGAACGCUGGCGGCGUGCUUAACACAUGCAAGUCGAACGGAAAGGCCCUGCUUUUGUGGGGUGCUCGAGUGGCGAACGGGUGAGUAACACGUGAGUAACCUGCCCUUGACUUUGGGAUAACUUCAGGAAACUGGGGCUAAUACCGGAUAGGAGCUCCUGCUGCAUGGUGGGGGUUGGAAAGUUUCGGCGGUUGGGGAUGGACUCGCGGGUUAUCAGCUUGUUGGUGGGGUAGUGGCUUACCAAGGCUUUGACGGGUAGCCGGCCUGAGAGGGUGACCGGCGACAUUGGGCCUGAGAGACGGCCCAGACUCCUACGGGAGGCAGCAGGGGGGAAUAUUGCACAAUGGGCGGAAGCCUGAUGCAACAACGCCGCGUGCGGGAUGCCGGCCUUCGAGUUGUAAACCGCUUUCGCCUGUGACGAAGCGUGAGUGACGGUAAUGGGUAAAGAAGCAACGGCUAACUACGUG